UCAGUUCGGAUCGCAGGCUGAAACCCGCCUGCGUGAAGUUGGAAUUGCUAGUAAUCGCGGAUCAGCAUGCCGCGGUGAAUACGUUCCCGGGCCUUGUACACACCGCCCGUCACACCAUGGGAGUUUGUAACACCCGAAGUCUGUAGUCUAACCGCAAGGGGGGCGCGGCCGAAGGUGGGUCCGGUAAUUGGGGUGAAGUCGUAACAAGGUAAC
rnacentral:rRNA from 1 species